GGGCGCACCGUUCGGAACCCGGAAAAGCGGAGCCGGGGGUUUGCCACCGGCCCGCGGCCCUCCUCGGUGGCUGGCAGUGGUCUUCGCUGGGUAGUUUCGGCCGCGGAAAGUUCCACUUUCAAAGCAGUUUCCCGAAGUAGUUGUAGAGUCUGCUUGGGGCUCGGAUUGAGGCUACCGCGGAAGUUAUACUUCUGAGUCACACAAACUAGUUAUCUUAACUCAUUCUUGUCUGAACAUGGACCGUUACCACUCUACUCUCAACCAUCUGAAUAGCAUGAAAUGUUGAUCUUGUCUUUUGUCUACUUCUUUUUGGAGAGACUUCAAGCAAGCAAUGCAACUAAAAUGGAAAAAGAGAAGGCAGAGAUGGCGUUCCUCAAGUAGUUCCUGGCCUCAGCUUACUGAGACAAGUCCUUGUAAAAGGGAUCAAUCAGUUUAAUGUUAUGGGCCACAUCUGGCACAGACCUGGUAUCCCCAAAUGUUCAACAUUAACUCCCUAAAGCAAGUAAGGAAAAAAAUCCAGGUUUCUAAAAAUAAAACGGGCCUGCUAAGUCACGAAA